rnacentral:rRNA from 1 species
UACGUAGGUGGCAAGCGUUAUCCGGAUUUAUUGGGCGUAAGGGGAACGCAGGCGGUCUUUUAAGUCUGAUGUGAAAGCCUUCGGCUUAACCGGAGUAGUGCAUUGGAAACUGGGAGACUUGAGUGCAGAAGAGGAGAGUGGAACUCCAUGUGUAGCGGUGAAAUGCGUAGAUAUAUGGAAGAACACCAGUGGCGAAAGCGGCUCUCUGGUCUGUAACUGACGCUGAGGUGCGAAAGCGUGGGUAGCAAACAGG